rnacentral:rRNA from 1 species
CCUACGGGAGGCAGCAGUGAGGAAUAUUGGUCAAUGGGCGGGAGCCUGAACCAGCCAAGCCGCGUGAGGGACGACGGUUCUAUGGAUUGUAAACCUCUUUUGUCGGGGAACAAAGGCGGCCACGGGUGGGCGGAUGAGAGUAUCCGAAGAAAAAGCAUCGGCUAACUCCGUGCCAGCAGCCGCGGUAAUACGGAGGAUUCGAGCGUUAUCCGGAUUUAUUGGGUUUAAAGGGUGCGUAGGCGGUCGGAUAAGUUAGAGGUAAAAACGCGGGGCUCAACCUCGGAAUGGCCUUUGAAACUGGCAGGCUAGAGUGUACGUGAGGUAUGCGGAAUGUAUGGUGUAGCGGUGAAAUGCUUAGAGAUCACGCAGAACACCGAUUGCGAAGGCAGCUUACC